CCUACGGGGGGCAGCAGUAGGGAAUAUUGCUCAAUGGGGGAAACCCUGAAGCAGCAACGCCGCGUGGAGGAUGAAGGUUCUCGGAUUGUAAACUCCUUUUGUUAGAGAAGAUAAUGACGGUAUCUAACGAAUAAGCACCGGCUAACUCCGUGCCAGCAGCCGCGGUAAUACGGAGGGUGCAAGCGUUACUCGGAAUCACUGGGCGUAAAGAGCGCGUAGGCGGGAUAGCAAGGCAGAUGUGAAAUCCUAGGGCUUAACCAUAGAACUGCAUUUGAAACUGUUAUUCUAGAGUAUGGGAGAGGGAGGUGGAAUUCGUGGUGUAGGGGUAAAAUCCGUAGAGAUCAAGAGGAAUACUCAUUGCGAAGGCGACCUGCUAGAACAUAACUGACGCUGAUGCGCGAAAGCGUGGGGAGCAAACAGGAUUAGAUACCCGGGUAGUC
rnacentral:rRNA from 1 species